UCUUUUUGUUUAGUAUAGGAAAAGAAAAAUUUUUGUUGUUAUAGUAAAUUAGUACUGUUAAGGAAUUAGAUGAAAUAAAUAUGAAAAUUGUACUAUUAAAAGUAUGUUUUUUUUGCAGUACCUUUUGUAUCAGGGUUAAUUAAUUAAUUUAAUUUAUAUUUUCAUCUCGAUUUCAAAAGAGCUAAACUGUUAUUUUAGUUAAUGUUGAAUAAUUAUUAAUAAUAUAUUUUAGUGAAGAAAUUUUAUACGGUUUUGAGGGUAUCUGGUUUUUUAAGAAAUAAAUUUAAUUUAAUUUUGUUCAUUAAAUUUUAUAUUAAAUUAUAUUUUAUUGAACAAAUUAAAUAUUAUAGGGGACAAGCUCUAUAUUUUUCUAUAAAAGGUUUUAUUAAUUAAUUUUUGUAGGUUUAGAAUUGACCAUCAUUAAAAAAUAUGUUAUAAAUUUAUAUUAAGGUAUUGAUUAAUUUUUUUUUAUUUUAGUUUACUAUUAAAAUGUUAAAAUGAGUAAUUUAUUUUAAGUAAUAAUGAUUAAAUUAGUAUAAAUUACUGUUUAUUUUAUUAUAAGAUUUAUGAUAAAGUAAGGAACUCGGCAAAAUUAGUUCUCGCCUGUUUAUCAAAAACAUGUCCUUUUGAAUUUAAUUGAAGGUCUGACCUGCCCAGUGACGAUUUUAACGGCCGCGGUAUAUUGACCGUGCAAAGGUAGCAUAAUCAUUAGUCUUUUAAUAGAGGGCUGGAAUGAAAGGUUUAACGAGGAAUUAGCUGUCUCACUUUGUUUGUUUUAAAAUUUAAUUUUUUAGUAAAAAGGCUAAAAUAAUGUUGGAAGACGAGAAGACCCUAUAGAUCUUUACAUAGUGUUGUUUAAACAUUUAUAUAUGUAUAUAGUUUAUAUAACUUUAUGUUUUGUUGGGGUGACAAAAAUAUAUAAUUAACUUUUUUAAAUGAAAACCAUUGAUAUAUGAUUAUUAGAUCCAUUAUUAUUGAUUAUUAGACUAAGUUACCUUAGGGAUAACAGCGUAAUUCUCCCCCAGAGAUCAUAUUUACGGGAUGAGUUUGCGACCUCGAUGUUGGAUUAAGAUAAUAAUUAGGUGUAGCCGCUUAAUAUAUAGGUCUGUUCGACCUUUAAAUUCUUACAU
rnacentral:rRNA from 1 species